rnacentral:rRNA from 1 species
AUGGCAUCCCACAUUGUUGGAUACCCUCGCAUGGGCCCCAAGAGGGAGCUCAAGUUUGCCUUGGAGUCUUUCUGGGAUGGGAAGAGCAGCGCUGAGGAUUUGGAGAAGGUUGCCGCCGACCUCAGGGCCAGCAUCUGGAAGCAGAUGUCAGAGGCUGGGAUUAAGUACAUUCCCAGCAACACCUUCUCAUACUAUGACCAGGUGCUUGACACAACGGCCAUGCUUGGUGCCGUCCCGGACCGCUACUCAUGGACUGGCGGAGAGAUUGGCCACAGCACCUACUUCUCAAUGGCCAGGGGCAAUGCCACUGUCCCUGCUAUGGAGAUGACCAAGUGGUUUGACACCAACUACCACUUCAUUGUGCCUGAAUUGAGCCCAGCAACCAAGUUCUCAUAUGCUUCACACAAGGCUGUCUCUGAAUACAAGGAGGCAAAGGCGCUCGGUGUUGACACUGUUCCAGUGCUUGUUGGACCAGUCUCAUACUUGCUGCUCUCCAAGGCAGCGAAGGGUGUGGAGAAAUCAUUCUCUCUUCUUUCACUUCUUGAUAGCAUUCUUCCCAUCUACAAGGAAGUUGUGGCUGAGCUGAAGGCAGCUGGUGCUUCAUGGAUUCAGUUUGAUGAGCCCACCCUUGUUAAGGACCUUGCUGUUCACGAAUUGGCCGCGUUCUCUUCAGCAUAUGCUGAACUCGAAUCGGCACUCUCUGGAUUGAAUGUGCUUAUUGAGACAUACUUUGCCGAUGUUCCUGCUGAAUCUUACAAGACCCUCACAUCAUUGAGUGGCGUGACUGCCUAUGGUUUUGAUCUUGUUCGUGGAACUAAGACACUUGAACUUAUCAAGAGCGCUGGUAUCCCAUCUGGGAAGUACUUAUUUGCUGGUGUUGUAGAUGGAAGGAACAUCUGGGCUGAUGAUCUCGCUGCAUCUCUCAGCACUCUUCAGUCUCUUGAGGCUGUUGUUGGCAAGGACAAGCUUGUGGUGUCCACCUCCUGCUCUCUGAUGCACACUGCUGUUGAUCUUGUGAACGAGACUAAGCUUGACAGUGAGAUCAAGUCAUGGCUCGCAUUUGCUGCCCAAAAGGUGGUUGAGGUGAAUGCACUUGGCAAGGCUUUGGCUGGUCUCAAGGAUGAGGCCUACUUUGCCGCCAAUGCCGCUGCUCAGGCCUCAAGGAGGUCGUCACCCAGAGUGAACAAUGAGGAGGUUCAGAAGGCUGCGGCUGCUUUGAAGGGCUCUGACCACCGCCGUGCUACCCCUGUUUCUGCUAGACUGGACGCUCAGCAGAAGAAGCUCAACCUUCCUAUCCUCCCAACUACAACAAUCGGUUCAUUCCCUCAGACAAUGGACCUCAGGAGGGUCCGCCGUGAGUACAAGGCGAAGAAGAUCUCUGAGGAGGAGUAUGUCAGUGCUAUCAAGGAAGAAAUUAGCAAGGUUGUCAAGAUCCAAGAGGAGCUUGACAUCGAUGUGCUCGUCCAUGGAGAGCCUGAGAGAAAUGACAUGGUUGAGUACUUUGGCGAGCAAUUAUCUGGUUUUGCAUUUACUGCCAAUGGAUGGGUGCAAUCCUAUGGAUCACGUUGCGUGAAGCCACCGAUCAUCUAUGGUGAUGUCAGCCGCCCCAACCCCAUGACAGUCUUCUGGUCCAAGAUGGCUCAGGACAUGACCCCUCGCCCAAUGAAGGGAAUGCUGACUGGCCCUGUCACAAUCCUCAACUGGUCUUUUGUCAGGAACGACCAGCCAAGGUUUGAGACAUGCUACCAGAUUGCUCUUGCCAUUAAGAAGGAGGUUGAGGAUCUUGAAGCUGGUGGUAUUCAGGUGAUCCAGAUUGACGAGGCUGCUCUAAGAGAGGGUCUGCCACUUCGCAAGUCGGAGCAUGCUUUCUACUUGGACUGGGCUGUCCACUCAUUCAGAAUCACCAACUGCGGUGUGCAAGACACCACUCAGAUUCACACUCACAUGUGCUACUCCAACUUCAACGAUAUCAUCCACUCCAUCAUCAACAUGGACGCCGACGUCAUCACCAUUGAGAACUCCCGCUCCGACGAGAAGCUCCUGUCGGUCUUCCGUGAGGGCGUGACCUACGGAGCCGGCAUUGGCCCAGGCGUCUAUGACAUCCACUCCCCCAGGAUCCCCUCCACGGAGGAGAUUGCCGACCGCGUCAACAAGAUGCUCGCGGUCCUCGACACCAACAUCCUGUGGGUGAACCCUGACUGCGGCCUCAAGACCCGCAAGUACACGGAGGUGAAGCCCGCCCUGACCAACAUGGUUGCCGCGGCCAAGCUCAUCCGCACCCAGCUCGCCAGCACAAAGUGA